rnacentral:tRNA from 1 species
GGGCGGCUAGCUCAGCGGUAGAGCGUUUCGUUUACACCGAAAGGGUCGGGGGUUCGAUCCCCUCGCCGCCCACCA